AUUGAACGCUGGCGGCAAGCCUAACACAUGCAAGUCGAACGAGUGGCGGACGGGUGAGUAAUGCCUGGGAAACUGCCUGAUGGAGGGGGAUAACGACUGGAAACGGUCGCUAAUACCGCAUACCAUCGGAUGUGCCCAGAUGGGCUUAGCUAGUAGGUGGGGUAAAGGCUCACCUAGGCGACGCUCCCUAGCUGGUCUGAGAGGAUGAACAGCCACACGGGAACUGAGACACGGUCCAGACUCCUACGUGAGGCAGCAGUGGGGAAUAGUGCACAAUGGGCGCAAGCCUGAUGCAGCCAUGCCGCGUGUAUGAAGAAGGCCUUCGGGUUGUAAAGUACUUUCAGCGGGGAGGCGUUACCCACAGAAAAAGCACCGGCUAACUCCGUGCCAGCAGCCGCGGUAAUAC
rnacentral:rRNA from 1 species